rnacentral:sRNA from 1 species
GGCGGGGCUGGGGGCAACGGGGCGCGCCCAUGACCCAGCCGCCCGGCAGGCCGUGGAGCUGCGGAGCCUGUGGCGGGAGCGCGCGUGCGUGGUGGCCGGGCUGCGGCGCUUCGGGUGCGUGGUGUGCCGCUGGAUCGCCCAGGACCUCAGCAGCCUUGCUGGACUCCUGGACCAGCACGGCGUGCGCCUGGUGGGCGUAGGGCCCGAGGCCCUGGGUCUGCAGGAGUUCCUGGACGGCGACUACUUCAAGGGAGAGCUCUACCUGGAUGAGAGCAAGCAGCUUUACAAGGAGCUAGGCUUCAAGCGGUACAACAGCCUGAGCAUCCUCCCAGCAGCUCUGGGGAAGCCCGUGCGUGAUGUGGCUGCCAAGGUUUGUGUGGGUCAAGGGUGUACAGGCCGGGGGGUGGUGGGAGCUCCCAGGAGCCUUUCCUCUAGGAUUGACUCAGGCUGUGCCCACUCCUGACAGGCCAAGGCUGUUGGCAUCCAGGGGAACUUGUCUGGGGACCUGCUGCAGAGCGGAGGGCUGCUGGUGGCCAGCAAAGGUGGUGAUAAAGUGCUGCUGCAUUUCGUCCAGAAGUCUCCAGGCGACUACGUCCCCAAGGAGCACAUCCUGCAGGUCCUGGGCAUCUCUGCGGAGGUCUGUGCCAGCGACCCGCCUCAGUGUGCCAGAGAGGUGUGAGGGAGGCGAAGGCCCUGGCCUCCGAGGAUCUGGGUGGCGUCUGCUGCCCUAGGUGUGCUGGAAGUCCACUUGGAAGAACUGUUCCA